rnacentral:rRNA from 1 species
UACAGAGGGUGCUAGCGUUGUUCGGAAUCAUUGGGCGUAAAGGGCGUGUAGGCGGUUUGUUAAGUCAUGUGUGAAAUCCCUCGGCUCAACCGAGGAACGACGCAUGAAACUGGCAAGCUAGAGUACCAAAGAGGGGGGUGGAAUUCCCGGUGUAGCAGUGAAAUGCGUAGAUAUCGGGAGGAACACCUGUGGCGAAGGCGGCCCCCCGGUUGGAUACUGACGCUGAUACGCGAAAGCGUGGGGAGCAAACAGG